UAAACACACAGGAGUGAGGACAGGCAGGCACAGUCCAGGGUCUUGGUCCAGUGAAACAAGGGUCAGAUCCUGGAAACAUACGAGUGAAGCAGGAGAAUCCAAAGUCAAGGAGGCAAACCGCUAAGAGUAAAGUACAGGGGAAAAUCCAGAAGAUUAGAUCAGGAUGGAGCAGGGUUGAAGCUAAGUAAACACAGAGGAGUUUACAGGCACAGUAACAGGCACAGGCGUGAUCUGGGAAUUAGGUGUAGUCAAGCCAGAUCAGGAAUCCAGAGGGAAACAGGUACUGCAGACUUGAGAGUCCAGAAGACUGUCAGAGCAGACUUAAAAUAACCUGACCCACCUGAUGCAAUCUGUCAGGUAAUCCAGGUUUCCUGUCUGAUUGCAUAUAUACUGAUUGACAGGAGGGGCAUGGUCAGCUGCUAUCACUCCAUGACACUACGUUCAUUUAGCUUAUUCUGAAUAUCAAUCCACUUAUUUAUCUGUUUUUCAGGGGACUUUUUCCCUCCACCCUCAGCAUUUGGAUGGAUGCUGACAUUCUUCCUAACAGUAGCUGUAACUAUAGGAGCAUCAGUACUUCUGCUGAUCCAGUGGAGAAGAAUGAACACAGAGGAGACACUGUGGGAAUCUGAAAUAUAUUAUAUCAAUGCAGUAAAUGGUGAGUAAAUUAAUGUGUUCUAUGUAUGCAUUUUGAAGUGUGUCCAGAUUAAAUAAUUUAAGUUUCUUCCUUU
rnacentral:lncRNA from 1 species